GACGAACGCUGGCGGCGUGCUUAACACAUGCAAGUCGAACGAUGAAGCUGGAGCUUGCUCCGGUGGAUUAGUGGCGAACGGGUGAGUAACACGUGAGCAAUCUGCCCUUCACUCUGGGAUAACUGCGGGAAACUGUAGCUAAUACCGGAUACGAGACCUUGGGGCAUCCCAGGGUCUGGAAAGAAUUUCGGUGAAGGAUGAGCUCGCGGCCUAUCAGCUAGUUGGUGAGGUGAUGGCUCACCAAGGCGACGACGGGUAGCCGGCCUGAGAGGGUGAGCGGACACACUGGGACUGAGAAACGGCCCAGACUCAUACGGGAGGCAGCAGUGGGGAAUAUUGCACAAUGGGCGAAAGCCUGAUGCAGCAACGCCGCGUGAGGGAUGAAGGCCUUCGGGUUGUAAACCUCUUUUAGUAGGGAAGAAGCGCAAGUGACGGUACCUACAGAAAAAGCACCGGCUAACUACGUGCCAGCCGCCGCGGUAA
rnacentral:rRNA from 1 species